GGGUAACUAAAUAUCUCUGUCCAUCCAUCAGUUAGGGUUUUGUUGAAUUGAUUUAAUUGGUCGUUUUCAUUAUCUUAAUGAACUUCAAAUUGAUAAUUUGAGCUGAUUUGUUGCUUUUGUGGAUCUUUUUUUGCUGGAAAUUAUCGUUUAAGGUUCAUGUUAAGCGUUAAUUUUUAAUUAAUUUUCCCCCUACCUUUUAACAUCUUGAAUUAUAGAAUUAUAGAUAACCAUUACGAAUAUUAUUGUUUUUGGGCUUGUAAGUUAUUUUAGAGCUCCAGUUUCUGAAAUGGCCUCUAAUAAUUGCUGAACAUGCUUGGAUUUGGGUUAUAUGGGUCAAUUUCAUUUGGGAACAUUUAUUAGCAUGUGUAGGUGUUUGUUUAUUUAGUUUUUCCUGGCAUUUUGUUGCUAUUACAUUAUUUGGUUUAAGUUUUUGGUGAUUUUGUGAUAAAAUUUGUGUCUCAGGUGGAAUUCAGUUUAGGUACUAUUGGUGCUUGCCUUUUUAUUUGCAUUGAACAAUCUUAUGUCUAUAGGUUUCUUAGUAGAAGAUGGUCUUGGCAGGGAAAGUCAUUUCAUUCUUGCCUGCUGUAAGUGGUAGGAUGAUACAGUUUCAUUUGCAUUGUAGCAACAAACCAUGUAAUUGCAUUAAUAUAGUGCAGAAAAUGGGAUGAUAAAUGCCAUUGUUUUUCCUACUAUUUUCUAUGGUAUGUGAUAUAUUGGCAUGCAAGAUGAGCCAGAUGAUGAGUACUUGUUGAUACACAAGUCUUUUUGUGGAUUUUUUUUUGUCAAUUGGUACGAACAAGACAAUACUGAGUUUAUAGGUUUUAUUGUAGUCUUUUUGUAAAAUAAUGAUCGAGAAACGAAUCUAGAUUCUAGAUCUUUUGAAAGUUACGUGUUUUGACCAAAUAUGGAGGCAAAAUUGAACUUGUCCAUGAUCUUUGUUAUAAUUUCUGCUACUUUGAAAAUUGAUAUAAAAAAGUUUGCUUUUGUUUUUGCUUCAUAAAUUAUGUUCCGAGUUUCCACUCAUAAGUGAGAUCCCAUUUCUUGUUAAUUUUAUCAUUUUAUAUUGGCCUUUUUUUCUUUUCUUGCUUGUCUCAUAGUCUGUUCAUAGUUUGUUAAAUUUUACACUUGCACGCAUGUAGUCUGGAACUUAAGUUGUUAUUAAUCUCUCUCCCCCUUUUUCCGCCUCACAGUAUUCUCUUCUUCUAAUCUAUGUA
rnacentral:misc_RNA from 1 species